GACGUAGGGCGCGAGCGUUGUCCGGAUUUAUUGGGCGUAAAGAGCUCGUAGGCGGUUUGUCGCGUCGUUCGUGAAAACUCACAGCUUAACUGUGAGCUUGCGGUCGAUACGGGCAGGCUAGAGUUCGGUAGGGGAGACUGGAAUUCCUGGUGUAGCGGUGAAAUGCGCAGAUAUCAGGAGGAACACCGGUGGCGAAGGCGGUUCUCUGGGCAUUACCUGACGCUGAGGAGCGAAAGUGUGGGGAGCGAACAGG
rnacentral:rRNA from 1 species